CCUACGGGAGGCAGCAGUGGGGAAUUUUGGACAAUGGGCGCAAGCCUGAUCCAGCAAUGCCGCGUGAGUGAAGAAGGCCUUCGGGUUGUAAAGCUCUUUUGUCAGGGAAGAAACGGUGGUUCCUAAUACGGACUACUAAUGACGGUACCUGAAGAAUAAGCACCGGCUAACUACGUGCCAGCAGCCGCGGUAAUACGUAGGGUGCAAGCGUUAAUCGGAAUUACUGGGCGUAAAGCGUGCGCAGGCGGUUAUAUAAGUCAGAUGUGAAAUCCCCGGGCUCAACCUGGGAACUGCAUUUGAGACUGUAUGGCUAGAGUGUGUCAGAGGGGGGUAGAAUUCCACGUGUAGCAGUGAAAUGCGUAGAUAUGUGGAGGAAUACCGAUGGCGAAGGCAGCCCCCUGGGAUAACACUGACGCUCAUGCACGAAAGCGUGGGGAGCAAACAGGAUUAGAUACCCUGGUAGUCCACGCCCUAAACGAUGUCUACUAGUUGUCGGGACUUAAUUGUCUUGGUAACGCAGCUAACGCGUGAAGUAGACCGCCUGGGGAUACGGUCGCAAGAUUAAAACCNGAAAGUAGUAGUACGACGNGAGAGAGACGACGACGGACGACGACGGAGGAGGAG
rnacentral:rRNA from 1 species